UGGGGAAUCUUGCACAAUGGGCGAAAGCCUGAUGCAGCAACGCCGCGUGCGGGAAGAAGGCCCUCGGGUUGUAAACCGCUUUCAGAAGGAACGAAACUGACAGUACUUUCAGAAGAAGGUGCGGCCAACUACGUGCCAGCAGCCGCGGUGACACGUAGGCACCAAGCGUUGUCCGGAUUUAUUGGGCGUAAAGAGCUCGUAGGCGGUUCAGUAAGUCGGGUGUGAAAACUUUGGGCUUAACCCAAAGCGUGCAUCCGAUACUGCUGUGACUUGAGUACGGUAGGGGAGCGGGGAAUUCCUAGUGUAGCGGUGAAAUGCGUAGAUAUUGGGAAGAACACCAGUGGCGUAAGCGACUUGCUGGCCCGUAACUGACGCUGAGGAACGAAAGCCAGGGGAGCGAAUGGGAUUAGAUACCCUGGUAGUCCCUGAGCGGGCUGGCAAGGCGCAU
rnacentral:rRNA from 1 species